GCAUUUACUGACCAUUGCAGGACUGAGGCUAUGUCUUUCCCUAUCACAGUCUCCUGUGCUCUUGGGAAGCCCUGAGCUUGCUGACACCCCACUCCUUGAAUUCUUUCUCCAAUUCACUUCCACACAGUCCUUUCAGGAAAUGCUUGCCCUGCAUUUUUUUUCCUGUUGGUUCCUCGUGCCCCUCCCAUUCCUAAAUGUGGCUCUCUCAAAAACUCUGCCUGUAGCCCUUUGCCAUGCCUGUCCCCUAUCCAAAAGGCAGCCGUCUCCCUUCCAAUGUGACCUGUCCCACUUCUGCUGGAGCCAGCCCUCCUCUGUGACCUGGCCCAGGUCAAGGCCCUCCAACCUCCAUGCUUUUCAUUCACCUACAUCCACUCAGAAUGCACUCAGACCCCCUUUUUCAGAAACUAGCUGAUCCAGGUUUUAAGGCCAUAGAGUAUUAAUUCAAAGCACAGACUCUGGGCCAGGCUGCCUGAGUCCCAACCCUGGCUCUGACAAUUAGCAGCUGUGGGACGCUGAGGCAAGUUCUGUGCCUCAGUUUCCCUACCUGUAAAAUAGGGAUAAUAACAGCACCUACUUCGCAGCAUUGUUAUAAAAAUUAAGGGAGUUAAUGCUUGGAAGGGGUUUACAUGAGUGUUUGGUGCUUAGCAAGAGUUAGGUAAGGCCUUCUUAUUACUAUCUUUGAUGAGAAAGUACCUAGCCCAAGGGUUCCUAACUGGGGGUCCUUGGGUGGGUUUCUCCCACUCAACUUCCUGAGAUUAAAUGCAAAAUCUUGUGAA